GAUGAAGAACGUAGCGAAAUGCGAUAAGUAAUGUGAAUUGCAGAAUUCCGUGAAUCAUCGAAUCUUUGAACGCACAUUGCGCCCUCUGGUAUUCCGGGGGGCAUGCCUGUCCGAGCGUCAUUUGCAACCCUCAAGCCCGGCUUGUGUGAUGGGUGCCGUCCCCUACGGGACGCGCCCCGAAGGCAAUGGCGGCGUCGCGGUUAUCCGAUCAGCCAAAGUGUAUGGGGCUUUGUCACUCACUUUACGGCCCGGACCGGCGCCAGUCCGAAUCAAUCUUUUUUCUAAAGUUGACCUCGGAUCAGGUAGGGAUACCCGCUGAACUUAAGCAUAUCAACGGAGGA
rnacentral:misc_RNA from 1 species